rnacentral:lncRNA from 1 species
CUCACGACUGCGUGGCAGCGGCUGCAUCCCUGAAAUCCUGCCAUUUGCUGGAAUUAUUGCAUAUGCAGACGUGCUUACGACUCCGGCCAACGGACUUGCCCCUGUGCAAAUAGAAGGUUGAGCGAGGGAGUGUACCGGACUUGCCCAGGCCGCAAUUACUUACCCCUUCCCCGCCGGUGCGGUGCACGAUGCAAUUGAGAGGGGCUCAGCUGUAGAGUCAACGCAUGCACAGGGGUUCCAGCUACGGCUAAUGGCGUCAUGUUGACAGUUACGUCGCUGCCACGUUGUGUAGUAGCCGAAUUAGAAGACACACUGCUUAGUGGUUCAAGAUUUGCUUGGACGACAGAGUUAUAAUUGGUUGUUUAAUAUUGUGCACAACCCAUUAAGAGAGCAAAGGGACCAGCCAGAGCUCCAGAGCUUUGGGGUAGGCCACAUACGUUAAUCUAAACCCCUGUGCAAUUGUAA